GUUUGGUACUAGUACUGUAUAACAUAGGUAUGAUGUCUUGGCGCCUGAUUUUACGUAUACAAUAGAAGCGAGCUGACAAAAUACAUCAUGAAGAUAAUCAAUUUGAACAUAAAGGAAAGAGCAGCUGGAUGGUGUUCAUGGAGAGCAGUACCAAGACAGAUAUUAAGCAUCUUUAAUUGUUACGACGCAGGAUGUAAAUCAGAUACUAUGGUCAGAUAUGUUUUAAUCGAUAUGCAAGCUACAUGUAAACAGGUGGACUCGUCAUUUUGUCUCUGCAUCCCUGCUGUUACAGACAGUUAUGUUUAGCAUUCUUGUUUGUAUUUUUGAAGAGACCUGGGACUUUCAGAUGAUGGGAAAUUUAUAUUUUCUCUGAAUCAACUUACUAUUGAGAACAGAUUGUUCAAAACUCCAUACCCUUUUUGUGAAAAAAAAAUUUACACACUAAUUACUGCACAUAUUAACACAAAGUGCAAUAACAUAUUUUGUUGUGCAGUACUAUAAUAUAGUGUGAAUAUAUUGAAUUUUCUACUUAUAAAGUGCAAUAGCAAUUUGUACAAACAUAACUGUCAGUAUUAACCUGAUUGCAUACCUUUAAUUUGGAUGAUGACAUAAUUAAUAUCAAAGUAUUGAAUCCCUAAACUCUGAGCAUGUAUUAUUCUAUCUGUAUCUGAGAUUAAUAAGUGAACCUGUUUAAUUUGGAUUCUUGUAUUUUUUAAAGGUUUAUUUUGUUCAUUAAAAAUAUAACAUGUAGAACAUAAUGUUUGUGUCUAUUUAUAAACUGAGGUGUAAGAAGAAUGAUGAUUGUAAAUGAUACUGGCUAUUUUUACAGAUGAAUAUUGGAUCAUUGUUUACAUUUAUUUAUAUUUUAAAUUUUCUUUAUUUUAGAGCCAUCCUAAUUAUUGCCAUCAAAGUAUAAAACGUUCUUCAAUGCAAGCCUGUAUUUAUCAUAUAUUAGCUGAAUAAAAAUAAUAUAUAUAUUAUACAAUUAUUAUUUUAACAUUUAACAAC